rnacentral:rRNA from 1 species
GACGAACGCUGGCGGCGUGCUUAACACAUGCAAGUCGAACGGACAGGCGCUGCUUUUGCUGGGUGCUCGUGUGGCGAACGGGUGAGAAACACGUGUGUAACCUGUCCUUGACUUUGGGAUAUCAUUAGGAAAAUGGGGCUCAUAUAGCAUAGGAGCUCUUGCUGCAUGGUGGGGGUUGGAAAGAUUCGGCGGUUGGGGAUGGACUCGCGGGUUAUGCGCUUGUUGGUGGAGUAGUUGAUGACCAAGGCUUUGACGGGUAGCCGGCCUGAGAGGUGGACCGGCCACAUUGGGACUGAGAGACGGCCCAGACUCCUACGGGAGGCAGCAGGCGAGAAUAUUGCACAAUGGGCGGAAGCCUGAUACAGCAACGCCGCGUGCGGGAUGCCGGCCUUCGGGUUGUAAACCACUGUCGCCUGUGACAAAGCGGGAGUGACGGUAAUGGGUAAAGAAGCACCGGCUAACUACGUG